rnacentral:rRNA from 1 species
CCUACGGGAGGCAGCAGUGGGGGAUAUUGCACAAUGGGGGGAACCCUGAUGCAGCGACGCCGCGUGGGUGAAGGAGUGCUUCGGCAUGUAAAGCCCUAUCGGCAGGGAAGAAGCAAGACGGUACCUGACUAAGAAGCCCCGGCUAACUACGUGCCAGCAGCCGCGGUAAUACGUAGGGGGCGAGCGUUAUCCGGAUUCACUGGGUGUAAAGGGAGCGUAGACGGCCAUGCAAGCCAGGGGUGAAAGCCCGGGGCCCAACCCCGGGACUGCCCUUGGAAUUGUGCGGCUAGAGUGCGGGAGGGGCAGGCGGAAUUCCUGGUGUAGCGGUGAAAUGCGUAGAUAUCAGGAGGAACACCGGCGGCGAAGGCGGCCUGCUGGACUGCGACUGACGUUGAGGCUCGAAAGCGUGGGGAGCGAACAGGAUUAGAUACCCGGGUAGUC